GGGCGUUUAGCGCAGUGGUAGCGCGUAUGCUUUGCAGAUGUUGAUGACAUCGAGUAUGUAUAAGGUCCAGGGUUCAAUCCCCUGAACGUCCA